rnacentral:rRNA from 1 species
AUACAACUCUCAGCAACGGAUAUCUUGGCUCUUGCAACGAUGAAGAACGCAGCGAAAUGCGAUACGUAGUGUGAAUUGCAGAAUUCCGCGAAUCAUCGAGUCUUUGAACGCAAGUUGCGCCCGAGGCUUGUCCGAGGGCAUUUCCGCUAGAGCGUCACCGCGCCCCCCCCACCGAUCCACUCCCGGCGAGUCGGGUCGAGUGAAAGUGGCCAUCCCGGACGGAGGCGAUGCCUU